rnacentral:ncRNA from 2 species
AGGCCUCUCGCGGGAGAGAUCGGGCCUUGCCCGGCGCUGAAGGCGAAACCGCCCCGGAAACGCUCAAGCAGAAGGACCGCGCGAGACGU